rnacentral:rRNA from 1 species
AAAUUGAAGAGUUUGAUCAUGGCUCAGAUUGAACGCUGGCGGCAGGCCUAACACAUGCAAGUCGAACGGUAGCACAGAGAGCUUGCUCUCGGGUGACGAGUGGCGGACGGGUGAGUAAUGUCUGGGAAACUGCCCGAUGGAGGGGGAUAACUACUGGAAACGGUAGCUAAUACCGCAUAACGUCGCAAGACCAAAGUGGGGGACCUUCGGGCCUCACACCAUCGGAUGUGCCCAGAUGGGAUUAGCUAGUAGGUGGGGUAACGGCUCACCUAGGCGACGAUCCCUAGCUGGUCUGAGAGGAUGACCAGCCACACUGGAACUGAGACACGGUCCAGACUCCUACGGGAGGCAGCAGUGGGGAAUAUUGCACAAUGGGCGCAAGCCUGAUGCAGCCAUGCCGCGUGUAUGAAGAAGGCCUUCGGGUUGUAAAGUACUUUCAGCGAGGAGGAAGGCGUUGUGGUUAAUAACCACAGCGAUUGACGUUACUCGCAGAAGAAGCACCGGCUAACUCCGUGCCAGCAGCCGCGGUAAUACGGAGGGUGCAAGCGUUAAUCGGAAUUACUGGGCGUAAAGCGCACGCAGGCGGUUUGUUAAGUCAGAUGUGAAAUCCCCGGGCUCAACCUGGGAACUGCAUUUGAAACUGGCAAGCUUGAGUCUCGUAGAGGGGGGUAGAAUUCCAGGUGUAGCGGUGAAAUGCGUAGAGAUCUGGAGGAAUACCGGUGGCGAAGGCGGCUCCCUGGACAAAGACUGACGCUCAGGUGCGAAAGCGUGGGGAGCAAACAGGAUUAGAUACCCUGGUAGUCCACGCCGUAAACGAUGUCUACUUGGAGGUUGUGCCCUUGAGGCGUGGCUUCCGGAGCUAACGCGUUAAGUAGACCGCCUGGGGAGUACGGCCGCAAGGUUAAAACUCAAAUGAAUUGACGGGGGCCCGCACAAGCGGUGGAGCAUGUGGUUUAAUUCGAUGCAACGCGAAGAACCUUACCUGGUCUUGACAUCCACGGAAGUUUUCAGAGAUGAGAAUGUGCCUUCGGGAAC